UUGUGCUACUUAUUCGAUGGAUCAGGAACAAUCGAAAAAAGCCAGACCAGUACGGUAUCUCUUUGAAUCCUGAAUAUGGUGAGACCCCCGAUUGUACUAACCUACAUAUGUUUCAAAUGUAAACAUUUAAAGAUGAAUAAUACUUUAAACUGGUAUUUAGACCUUAAUUUUUUGAAAAAAAACUUGAUUUUGUCCUAAAUUAAAAAGAACACAUCUAUU
rnacentral:lncRNA from 1 species